rnacentral:lncRNA from 1 species
UCGGAUAUUGAUCAUGCUUAUAUUUUAUACAGAAUGUAAAAAUUCAAUUUUCAUAUACAUAUAUGUUGGAGUCACAGUGGACGGUUGACUUUUGCAUUCAGCAAGGAGAAAAAUGAGAUGAUGUCUAUGAAAGUAAUGGAAAUGAUCUGAUAUUUUCUUCUGGGUAGUACUGCAAUUUCAAUAGCUAUUGUCAGAAUCAGUAAUGUGUUCUUUUGUUCCUACAUUAACCUGCUCAAGAUUAUUUUGUUUACAACAACUUGAUUCUUCUCAGGUUAAGAAUUUGAUAACUUGCCGCCCUGAAGAUGAAGUUCCUAUUAGAAAUGUUACUAUAAGAAAAAUUCCUAGGUAUGCCUUGAUCUAUGUUUCAAAGAUGUAUAUCAUGGAGAUAUUAGUGUAUCUAGAUGUGGCAUGUGGCUCAAGUUUUCUGAACUUUACAAAAUGAUGAAGCUUGGACACAUUAAUUGGCUUCAUUCCAUCUGCUCAUGUUUUACAUCUAUACAAGUCAAACAACAAUCAUAGUCAUUGAUAACAUGUAAAAGGUAAUUAUAAAAAUAAGCAUGCAAGCACGGUAAGUGUUUCUUCACUUAAGCAUGUGUAGAUAANNNNNNNNNNNNNNNNNNNNGUAGUACUGCAAUUUCAAUAGCUAUUGUCUAGAAUCAGUAAUGUGUUCUUUUGUUCCUACAUUAACCUGCUCAAGAUUAUUUUGUUUACAACAACUU